rnacentral:rRNA from 1 species
GAAUGGUGGAUGCCUUGACUGGUAAAGGCGAUGAAGGACGUACUAGACUGCGAUAAGCUACGGGGAGUUGUCAAGAAGCUUUGAUCCGUAGAUUUCCGAAUGGGGCAACCCAAUGUAUAGAGAUAUACAUUACCUAUAUAGGAGCGAACGAGGGGAAUUGAAACAUCUUAGUACCCUCAGGAAAAGAAAUCAAUAGAGAUUGCGUCAGUAGCGGCGAGCGAAAGCGCAAGAGGGCAAACCCAGUGCUUGCACUGGGGGUUGUAGGACUGCAAUGUGCAAGAGCUGAGUUUAGCAGAACAUUCUGGAAAGUAUAGCCAUAGAGGGUGAUAGUCCCGUAUGCGAAAAACAAAGCUUAGCUAGCAGUAUCCUGAGUAGGGCGGGACACGAGGAAUCCUGUCUGAAUCCGGGUCGACCACGAUCCAACCCUAAAUACUAAUACCAGAUCGAUAGUGCACAAGUACCGUGAGGGAAAGGUGAAAAGAACUGAGGUGAUCAGAGUGAAAUAGAACCUGAAACCAUUUGCUUACAAUCAUUCAGAGCACUAUGUAGCAAUACAGUGUGAUGGACUGCCUUUUGCAUAAUGAGCCUGCGAGUUGUGGUGUCUGGCAAGGUUAAGCAAACGCGAAGCCGUAGCGAAAGCGAGUCUGAAUAGGGCGCUUAGUCAGAUGCUGCAGACCCGAAACGAAGUGAUCUAUCCAUGAGCAAGUUGAAGCUAGUGUAAGAACUAGUGGAGGACUGAACCCAUAGGCGUUGAAAAGCCCCGGGAUGACUUGUGGAUAGGGGUGAAAGGCCAAUCAAACUUCGUGAUAGCUGGUUCUCUCCGAAAUAUAUUUAGGUAUAGCGUUGUGUCGUAAUAUAAGGGGGUAGAGCACUGAAUGGGCUAGGGCAUACACCAAUGUACCAAACCCUAUCAAACUCCGAAUACCUUAUAUGUAAUCACAGCAGUCAGGCGGCGAGUGAUAAAAUCCGUCGUCAAGAGGGAAACAACCCAGACUACCAGCUAAGGUCCCUAAAUCUUACUUAAGUGGAAAACGAUGUGAAGUUACUUAAACAACCAGGAGGUUGGCUUAGAAGCAGCCAUCCUUUAAAGAAAGCGUAAUAGCUCACUGGUCUAGUGAUUUUGCGCGGAAAAUAUAACGGGGCUAAAGUAAGUACCGAAGCUGUAGACUUGCACACAACUUAGAUUAUUUAAGUUUAGAAUAUAAAAAAACUAAGUUAUAUGUUUUAAGUUAUAUUUUUACUGAUUUUUAUAGAGUAAAGAUAGAAAUAAAGCUUAGUAAAAUCAGUAAAAAUAUUCUUGGUUUAAAGUUUAAGUAGUUUAAGUUGUGUGCAAGUGGUAGGAGAGCGUUCUAUUUGCGUCGAAGGUAUACCGGUAAGGAGUGCUGGAGCGAAUAGAAGUGAGCAUGCAGGCAUGAGUAGCGAUAAUUAAUGUGAGAAUCAUUAACGCCGUAAACCCAAGGUUUCCUACGCGAUGCUCGUCAUCGUAGGGUUAGUCGGGUCCUAAGUCGAGUCCGAAAGGGGUAGACGAUGGCAAAUUGGUUAAUAUUCCAAUACCAACAUUAGUGUGCGAUGGAAGGACGCUUAGGGCUAAGGGGGCUAGCGGAUGGAAGUGCUAGUCUAAGGUCGUAGGAGGUUAUACAGGCAAAUCCGUAUAACAAUACUCCGAGAACUGAAAGGCUUUUUGAAGUCUUCGGAUGGAUAGAAGAACCCCUGAUGCCGUCGAGCCAAGAAAAGUUUCUAAGUUUAGCUAAUGUUGCCCGUACCGUAAACCGACACAGGUGGGUGGGAUGAGUAUUCUAAGGCGCGUGGAAGAACUCUCUUUAAGGAACUCUGCAAAAUAGCACCGUAUCUUCGGUAUAAGGUGUGGUUAGCUUUGUAUUAGGAUUUACUCCGAAAGCAAGGAAACUUACAACAAAGAGUCCCUCCCGACUGUUUACCAAAAACACAGCACUCUGCUAACUCGUAAGAGGAUGUAUAGGGUGUGACGCCUGCCCGGUGCUCGAAGGUUAAUUGAUGGGGUUAGCAUUAGCGAAGCUCUUGAUCGAAGCCCGAGUAAACGGCGGCCGUAACUAUAACGGUCCUAAGGUAGCGAAAUUCCUUGUCGGUUAAAUACCGACCUGCAUGAAUGGCGUAACGAGAUGGGAGCUGUCUCAAAGAGGGAUCCAGUGAAAUUGUAGUGGAGGUGAAAAUUCCUCCUACCCGCGGCAAGACGGAAAGACCCCGUGGACCUUUACUACAGCUUGACACUGCUACUUGGAUAAGAAUGUGCAGGAUAGGUGGGAGGCUUUGAGUAUAUGACGCCAGUUGUAUAUGAGCCGUUGUUGAGAUACCACUCUUUCUUAUUUGGGUAGCUAACCAGCUUGAGUUAUCCUCAAGUGGGACAAUGUCUGGUGGGUAGUUUGACUGGGGCGGUCGCCUCCCAAAUAAUAACGGAGGCUUACAAAGGUUGGCUCAGAACGGUUGGAAAUCGUUCGUAGAGUAUAAAGGUAUAAGCCAGCUUAACUGCAAGACAUACAAGUCAAGCAGAGACGAAAGUCGGUCUUAGUGAUCCGGUGGUUCUGUGUGGAAGGGCCAUCGCUCAAAGGAUAAAAGGUACCCCGGGGAUAACAGGCUGAUCUCCCCCAAGAGCUCACAUCGACGGGGAGGUUUGGCACCUCGAUGUCGGCUCAUCGCAUCCUGGGGCUGGAGCAGGUCCCAAGGGUAUGGCUGUUCGCCAUUUAAAGCGGUACGCGAGCUGGGUUCAGAACGUCGUGAGACAGUUCGGUCCCUAUCUGCCGUGGGCGUAAGAAGAUUGAAGAGAUUUGACCCUAGUACGAGAGGACCGGGUUGAACAAACCACUGGUGUAGCUGUUGUUCUGCCAAGAGCAUCGCAGCGUAGCUAAGUUUGGAAAGGAUAAACGCUGAAAGCAUCUAAGCGUGAAGCCAACUCUAAGAUGAAUCUUCUCUAAGCUCUCUAGAAGACUACUAGUUUGAUAGGCUGGGUGUGUAAUGGAUGAAAGUCCUUUAGCUGACCAGUACUAAUAGAGCGUUUGGCUUAUCUUUAAUAAAGCAU